rnacentral:rRNA from 1 species
CGAAGGGGGCGAGCGUUGUUCGGAUUUACUGGGCGUAAAGGGCGCGUAGGCGGCCAUCUUUGUCAGGCGUGAAAGCCCCGGGCUCAACCUGGGAACUGCGUCUGGGACGGGGUGGCUAGAGAUCGGGAGAGGAGCGUGGAAUUCCCAGUGUAGAGGUGAAAUUCGUAGAUAUUGGGAAGAACACCGGUGGCGAAGGCGGCGCUCUGGACCGAGACUGACGCUGAGGCGCGAAAGCGUGGGGAGCAAACAGGAUUAGAUACCCUGGUAGUCCACGCUGUAAACGACGUGUGCUAGACGUUGGGGAGCCUAGCUCUUCGGUGUCGCAGCUAACGCUUUAAGCACACCGCCUGGGGAGUACGGCCGCAAGGUUA